rnacentral:tRNA from 1 species
GAUUGUGUAGUGUAGUGGCCGGCACGCGGAUUUGCGCACCGAGGUAUGGGUUCGACCCCCAUCACAAUCA